AUUGAACGCUGGCGGCAGGCCUAACACAUGCAAGUCGAACGAGUGGCGGACGGGUGAGUAAUGGCUGGGAAACUGGCUGAUGGAGGGGGAUAAGGACGGGAAAAGGUAGCUAAUACCGCAUACCAUCAGAUGGGGCGAGGUGGGAUUGGCUAGUUGGUGGGGAAACGGCGGACCAAGGCGACGAUCCCUAGCUGGUCUGAGAGGAUGACCAGCCACACUGGAACUGGGACACGGUCCAGACUCCUACGGGAGGCAGCAGUGGGGAAUAUUGCGCAAUGGGCGCAAGCCUGAUGCAGCCAUGCCGCGUGUAUGAAGAAGGCCUUCGGGUUGUAAAGUUCUUUCGGCGGGGAGGCGUUACCUACCGAAGAAGCACCGGCUAACUACGUGCCAGCAGCCGCGGUAAUAC
rnacentral:rRNA from 1 species